rnacentral:rRNA from 1 species
UAGGGAAUCUUCCGCAAUGGGCGAAAGCCUGACGGAGCAACGCCGCGUGAGUGAUGAAGGUCUUCGGAUCGUAAAACUCUGUUAUUAGGGAAGAACAAAUGUGUAAGUAACUAUGCACGUCUUGACGGUACCUAAUCAGAAAGCCACGGCUAACUACGUGCCAGCAGCCGCGGUAAUACGUAGGUGGCAAGCGUUAUCCGGAAUUAUUGGGCGUAAAGCGCGCGUGGGCGGUUUUUUAAGUCGGAUGUGAAAGCCCACGGCUCAACCGUGGAGGGUCAUUGGAAACUGGAAAACUUGAGUGCAGAAGAGGAAAGUGGAAUUCCAUGUGUAGCGGUGAAAUGCGCAGAGAUAUGGAGAAACACCAGUGGCGAAGGCGACUUUCUGGUCUGUAACUGACGCUGAUGUGCGAAAGCGUGGGGAUCAAACAGA